rnacentral:rRNA from 1 species
AUGAACGCUGGCGGCAUGCUUACACAUGCAAGUCGAACGGCAGCACGGGUGCUUGCACCUGGUGGCGAGUGGCGAACGGGUGAGUAAUACAUCGGAACAUGUCCAGUAGUGGGGGAUAGCCCGGCGAAAGCCGGAUUAAUACCGCAUACGAUCCAUGGAUGAAAGCGGGGGACCUUCGGGCCUCGCGCUAUUGGGGUGGCCGAUGGCGGAUUAGGUAGUUGGUGGGGUAAAGGCCUACCAAGCCGACGAUCCGUAGCUGGUCUGAGAGGACGACCAGCCACACUGGGACUGAGACACGGCCCAGACUCCUACGGGAGGCAGCAGUGGGGAAUUUUGGACAAUGGGCGAAAGCCUGAUCCAGCAAUGCCGCGUGUGUGAAGAAGGCCUUCGGGUUGUAAAGCACUUUUGUCCGGAAAGAAAUCCUCUGCCCUAAUACGGCGGGGGGAUGACGGUACCGGAAGAAUAAGCACCGGCUAACUACGUGCCAGCAGCCGCGGUAAUACGUAGGGUGCAAGCGUUAAUCGGAAUUACUGGGCGUAAAGCGUGCGCAGGCGGUGAUGCAAGACCGAUGUGAAAUCCCCGGGCUUAACCUGGGAACUGCAUUGGUGACUGCAUCGCUGGAGUAUGGCAGAGGGGGGUAGAAUUCCACGUGUAGCAGUGAAAUGCGUAGAGAUGUGGAGGAAUACCGAUGGCGAAGGCAGCCCCCUGGGCCAAUACUGACGCUCAUGCACGAAAGCGUGGGGAGCAAACAGGAUUAGAUACCCUGGUAGUCCACGCCCUAAACGAUGUCAACUGGUUGUCGGGCCUUCAUUGGCUUGGUAACGUAGCUAACGCGUGAAGUUGACCGCCUGGGGAGUACGGUCGCAAGAUUAAAACUCAAAGGAAUUGACGGGGACCCGCACAAGCGGUGGAUGAUGUGGAUUAAUUCGAUGCAACGCGAAAAACCUUACCUACCCUUGACAUGUACGGAAUCCUGGUGAGAGCUGGGAGUGCCCGAAAGGGAGCCGUAA